rnacentral:rRNA from 1 species
GACGAACGCUGGCGGCGUGCUUAACACAUGCAAGUCGAACGGAAAGGCCCUGCUUUUGUGGGGUGCUCGAGUGGCGAACGGGUGAGUAACACGUGAGUAACCUGCCCUUGACUUUGGGAUAACUUCAGGAAACUGGGGCUAAUACCGGAUAGGAGCUCCUGCUGCAUGGUGGGGGUUGGAAAGUUUCGGCGGUGGGGGCUGGAAUCGCGGCUUAUCCGCUUGUUGGUGGGGUAGUGGCGUACCAAGGCUUUGACGGGUAGCCGGCCUGAGAGGGUGACCGGCGACAUUGGGACUGAGAUACGGCGCAGACUCCUACGGGAGGCAGCAGUGGGGAAUAUUGCACAACGGGCGGAAGCCUGAUGCAGCAACGCCGCGUGCGGGAUGACGGCCUUCGGGUUGUAAACCGCUUUCGCCUGUGACGAAGCGUGAGUGACGGUAAUGGGUAAAGAAGCACCGGCUAACUACGUG